GACGAACGCUGGCGGCGUGCUUAACACGUGCAAGUCGAACGGAAAGGCUCCAGCUUGCUGGCGUACUCGAGUGGCGAACGGGUGAGUAACACGUGGGUAAUCUGCCCUGCACUCUGGGAUAAGCCUGGGAAACUGGGUCUAAUACUGGAUAUGACCUUUCUCCUUAUGGGGUUUGGUGGAAAGUUUUUCGGUGUAGGAUGAGCCCGCGGCCUAUCAGCUUGUUGGUGGGGUGAUGGCUUACCAAGGCGACGACGGGUAGCCGGCCUGAGAGGGUGAUCGGCCACAUUGGGACUGAGAUACGGCCCAGACUCCUACGGGAGGCAGCAGUGGGGAAUAUUGCACAAUGGGCGGAAGCCUGAUGCAGCGACGCCGCGUGAGGGAUGACGGCCUUCGGGUUGUAAACCUCUUUCAGCAGGGACGAAGCGUAAGUGACGGUACCUGCAGAAGAAGCACCGGCUAACUAUGUG
rnacentral:rRNA from 1 species